GUAUGGUACACCUCAUCCCGGGUGCAGAUGCAGCGUAGACGGAGGAUAGAGUCUUUGCAGGAAGCAGGGUGAGAAGAAGUGUAGUCUACAUAGCCAUGGGAACCAGUGGAUGUGUGUAACUCUCAUACCCAUUCACUUUUCUUCUCUGCAGUUCAAAGACCAAACAAUUACUGUGGUUGAGAAUGUGAACAUUUGUAAUAAAAAUCUUUGAAUAAACCUCAUUAAAUCAAAGUCUUUCUUUGUACACAGUGGGCUUUCAGACCUCAGUCAAAUGUUACCUGCCUUCUCAAGAAACCACCAUGGGAUAUUCACCAAAGAUCGUGAAUCAUCUGCGACCCUGAGUUGUGCGAGAAAUGUUCUGCCACUGCUAAAUUCCCUGGGAAGAUUGUGUUGUGCUGCUGCAGUAAGAAUUGUUCUAACUGGGACACAUGACAAUAAAACACUUGACUCUUGAGGUCAAGGAAAGAGCCUGUUGCCUCGAUAAGAAGAAGACUUGACUCUUGGAACCUCCUGAGGAGUCCACUUACUAAUUCCCAUCCCAACACUGAGUUACGAGGAAAGAUUCACCAGUUUGGUGUCGAUGUUCGAUGAAGCGUUGGAAUGACAGGUCUAUUGACUGCACACCUCCUCUUGAUGGACUGUGAAGGAAGAGGUGAUCACUGCCAGAUCUUAGUAACUUCAACAGAGCCAACAGGCAGUGCACAGAACUCCAGAGACCUAUCAGGUGAUUACCCGUGUAAAUCAGUAUGUUAAACAACAACCAAAGAUAGAGACAAAAUGCUGGAGUAACUCAGUGGGUCAGGCAGCA